UGUCAAGCUUCCGUUUUCCUGCACCCACAGCCCGAGGGAUAACGAAAGCUAUACAGCUGUCUCGUUUCGAAAGGCUGCGUCCUUGUGUCCUCCCUAGACGGCGCAACAUUCAACGCGGCGGUUGAUUAACAAGCUAUAUUGCGCUGUCAACAUGAAUAUUUCUCUCAAACACACGCAUCGAUUCCCGUCAGAAGACCUUCGUUAAACCCACAGAGACGUUGUUUGAUCGAUGGAUGUACUUUUUGGACCUUCAAGUCAACUACCAUCCACUGCCAUUCUACCGCUUGGAAGUAAAAUCAUACCUGGGACUGCAUUGUUCUUCCAAAAGAAAAUCAUAUUCGUUUAGGAUGCAUUGACGAUGGCGCCACUGUACAGAUGCUAAUCACGCCGUUAAAUAUAUGUGACAUCUGCGCUGAACGUGGCGGCGCCGAGGCAGGCUUUAGUCAACGCUAAUCAGUGGACGGGCUUGUUCAACGUUGGAGUUUGACGAUGAGGAUAUGCUUGAAUCUGAUCGGUCAUAUGCGUCCACAUCUGCCUCCGCUUCGGAAUUCUAAAAGAUGCUUACGCAUCAUGGGGCCCUGGGGAAAGUACAUCAGCAUCUCUCCGAGCGAAAACACAUGGCCCUGUGAAAACCUUAGACCAAAUCUCUGCAACCCUCCUCCACUAUCCAAACAAAUCACCCUCCCCAUCAUCUCUUGGUGUCCCGCAGAGAGACCGUCCAGCUCCGGAUGAUGUUGAAUGACUGGGAUGUGGAUCUGGAUGAACUGGAUGAAAGCGUUCCUCAAAUUGUUUCACAGCACAGGAGAAUUCAGCCUCAAAAUUGCCACUGGACAGCGUUCCACCCUGUCCAGUGCAGGGUGGAAUGUCCUCUCACAGCACCGGCGAUGUCCUCUCACAGCUUUAGUUCCUCUGUGUCAGUAAUGCCACGACCUUUGAUCAACCCCUCAUCCAGUGCGCAAGGGCCCAUAUGUCUACACCUACCAUGUUGAUUCCAAGGCUCAUGCCGGUCCAGCAUGAUAAGGAGAACAAGGAGCAGAGGGAAAAGGCAAAACUUUUAACCAUGGCACUUUUUUGGCCAAAUUGCUGCCGUUUCUGUACGGAGGUGGGUUUUGAUGCGAAAUCGGAGCCAGGAGUGGUGGGAUCGUGAUGUAAAUAACUUAUUUCCAAAUAAAUAACACAAUAUUAGGAUGUCAAGGGAUACUUUUAAUUAUAUCCGCAAGCGCCUCUCCAAAGGACUCUCACAGCAAGACAAUCCCACUCACACAAAUGCGGAUCAAAUCUAGCACUUCACUGUCCAUCCACUGACUUAAGUCCCUGCUCUCCUCCAUGUUGUUACGAUUAAAUACGUGACACGGUAGGUUGCACCGGCCCAGAAUUUUGACGCGGGUCGAUGUAGAAUGACGUAAAAGUUGCAUGAAUUCCGAGAUGACCGUUCAGACUUAGGUCGCAUUGCGAAACAUCAGACCUGUAUCUGAUUUAGGACCACAUAUGGAAGUGGCUCAGAUCAGAUUUAAAAAGAUCGGAUUCCAAGUGGUUUGUCCUGUUCACACUGACAUGCAGUAAACAGAUCUGGAUCAAAUGAGAAAAAAAACAGAUCUGGUGGCAGUGCGAAUGUGAGGCUGCAGUCUUUGAUACCUUCAGAAGGAGGGAUUGAGAAACACUUACCUCUUCCCAAAAAAACAAUGGUAGACUUGCAUUUGCAAAUGUAGUAUUCGUGGUAUAUGCUUAAAUGUGUAAGCAGAGUUUAAGCCCUUCUGGUGUCCUAAUCCCCCCUUUUUUUAGACAUUAUGUCUCUCUAGGGAUGUAAAACCUGAUUAAACAUAUACUUGUUUAAUUAGUGACACAUUUUCAAGUGAAGUAUGGCAACAGUACAACAUUUUUAUGAAUGAAUCCCUUAUUAGCCAAUCCAUGUGGGCAUAGUAAGCCUGAUGACAUCCUCCAUAGCAAGAAGGUCAAAAUCCGCGAUGGGGAGCAAAAAUUAACUAAAAACAAGAUUUAAAACAAAACACUUCCAACAAGAAGGCAAAACUGGAGUACAAAGUAACUUAAAAUGAACUAACCAAACAACACGGCAUGCAGGACAGGACUGGGGAACUCGGUCGUAGACUAUUCCAAAAGGACACUGUAACGAGCAAGGUGGGAUGAGAUCCGUGAGGAAACGACUCGAGGCCGGUGACGCGAGUGAUAAUGAGUGUCAGCUGCGCGUUGCACCUGUCUCGCAUCUCUCACGGAGGAGAUCGGAGGCAUAUAAGGACUAGCGGGAGGAGUGUACGACGAGAGAGG